GAAGGAACUUCUGGUGUGAUAUG
rnacentral:miRNA from 1 species